UACGGGGGGGGCAAGCGUUGUUCGGAAUUACUGGGCGUAAAGGGCUCGUAGGUGGCCAACUAAGUCGGACGUGAAAUCCCUCGGCUUAACCGGGGAACUGCAUCCGAUACUGGAUGGCUUGAGUUCGGGAGAGGGAUGCGGAAUUCCAGGUGUAGCGGUGAAAUGCGCAGAUAUCAGGAGGAACACCGGUGGCGAAGGCGGUGAUCUGGGCCGACACUGACGCUGUAGAGCGAAAGCGUGGGGAGCGAACAGG
rnacentral:rRNA from 1 species